UGGUCCACGGGGUGAGAAGGGUGAUCUAGGAGAAAAGGGAGAAAAGGGGCCAGAUGGCUUACCCAUGCCUGGCUGUUGGCAAAAGUGAUGAAUCUAACCUUUCAAGCAUGAAGUUGUGUAUAUAAGGGUCCAUUUUUAAUAUUUAUAGUUGAAAACUGAAUUGCAGAUUUUACAAGUCUGAGAUAUGUUUACAUAGGGCUGCUUCUUCCUGCUGGCAGUAGUAUACAUGUCCAUUUUUACUCCACUUACAUCUGAAAUUGGGCAAUUUGUGAAACCAGUGAGAAUCCUGCAAAAAAUAUAGAUCAGUAUCUCCUUA
rnacentral:lncRNA from 1 species